GAAGAUAUAGCUCAGUGGCAGAGUAUGUACUUAGCAUGUGUGAAGUCCUGGGUUCAAUCCCUAAUACCUCCA
rnacentral:tRNA from 1 species